rnacentral:rRNA from 1 species
CCGGGUGACGAGUGGCGGACGGGUGAGUAAUGUCUGGGGAUCUGCCCGAUGGAGGGGGAUAACUACUGGAAACGGUAGCUAAUACCGCAUAACCUCGAAAGAGCAAAGUGGGGGACCUUCGGGCCUCACACCAUCGGAUGAACCCAGAUGGGAUUAGCUAGUAGGUGGGGUAACGGCUCACCUAGGCGACGAUCCCUAGCUGGUCUGAGAGGAUGACCAGCCACACUGGAACUGAGACACGGUCCAGACUCCUACGGGAGGCAGCAGUGGGGAAUAUUGCACAAUGGGCGCAAGCCUGAUGCAGCCAUGCCGCGUGUAUGAAGAAGGCCUUCGGGUUGUAAAGUACUUUCAGCGGGGAGGAAGGGAUGAGGGUUAAUAACCUUCGUCAUUGACGUUACCCGCAGAAGAAGCACCGGCUAACUCCGUGCCAGCAGCCGCGGUAAUACGGAGGGUGCAAGCGUUAAUCGGAAUUACUGGGCGUAAAGCGCACGCAGGCGGUUUGUUAAGUCAGAUGUGAAAUCCCCGGGCUCAACCUGGGAACUGCAUUUGAAACUGGCAAGCUUGAGUCUCGUAGAGGGGGGUAGAAUUCCAGGUGUAGCGGUGAAAUGCGUAGAGAUCUGGAGGAAUACCGGUGGCGAAGGCGGCCCCCUGGACGAAGACUGACGCUCAGGUGCGAAAGCGUGGGGAGCAAACAGGAUUAGAUACCCUGGUAGUUCACGCCGUAAACGAUGUUGACUUGGAGGUUGUGCCCUUGAGGCGUGGCUUCCGGAGGUAACGCGUUAAGUUGACCGCCUGGGGAGUACGGCCGCAAGGUUAAAACUCAAAUGAAUUGACGGGGGCCCGCACCAGCGGUGGAGCAUGUGGUUUAAUUUGAUGCAACGGGAAGAACCUUACCUGGCUUUGACAUUCACGGAAUUUGGCAGAGAUGCCUUAGUGCCUUUGGGAACCGUGAGACAGGUGGUGCAUGGCUGUUGUCAGCUUGUGUUGUGAAAUGUUGGGUUAAGUCCCGCAACGAGGGCAACCCUUAUCCUUUGUUGCCAGCGGGUAAUGGCGGGAACUCAAAGGAGACUGCCGGUGAUAAACCGGAGGAAGGUGGGGAUGACGUCAAGUCAUCAUGGCCCUUACGGCCAGGGCUACACACGUGCUACAAUGGCGCAUACAAAGAGAAGCGAACUCGCGAGAGCAAGCGGACCUCAUAAAGUGCGUCGUAGUCCGGAUCGGAGUCUGCAACUCGACUCCGUGA